GCCGGGGUGGUGGAAUGGCAGACACGCUGGACUUAAAAUCCAGUGGAAAUAAAAUUCCGUGCGGGUUCGACUCCCGCCCUCGGCA
rfam:Candidate division CPR3 bacterium GW2011_GWF2_35_18 TR67_C0001, whole genome shotgun sequence.